rnacentral:rRNA from 1 species
UACGAGGGGGGCAAGCGUUGUUCGGAAUUAUUGGGCGUAAAGGGUGCGUAGGCGGCGCGGGUAAGUCGGGUGUGAAAUCUCGGGGCUUAACUCCGAAACUGCAUUCGAUACUGCCGUGCUUGAGGACUGGAGAGGAGACUGGAAUUUACGGUGUAGCGGUGAAAUGCGUAGAUAUCGUAAGGAAGACCGUGGCGAAGGCGGGUCUCGUGGACAGUUC